GACGAGCGCUGGCGGCGUGCCUAACACAUGCAAGUCGCGCGAGAAAAGGGGGGCAACUCCCUGAGUAAAGCGGCGAACGGGUGAGUAACACGUAGGUAACCUACCCUCGAGUCCGGGAUAACCUACCGAAAGGUGGGCUAAUACUGGAUAUGACCACGGGAGCCUCGGCUUCUGCGGUGAAAGGUGGCCUCUGCUUGCAAGCUACCACUCGUGGAUGGGCCUGCGCGCCAUUAGCUAGUUGGGGAGGUAACGGCCCACCAAGGUGAUGAUGGCUAGCUGGGCUGAAAGGAUGGCCAGCCACACUGGGACUGAAACACGGCCCAGACUCCUACGGGAGGCAGCAGUGGGGGAUAUUGCGCAAUGGGCGAAAGCCUGACGCAGCGACGCCGCGUGGGUGAUGAAGGCCUUCGGGUCGUAAAGCCCUGUCGAGGGGAAAGAAACGGUUCCGACCCAAUACGUCGGGGCCCUGACGGUACCCCUAAAGGAAGCACCGGCUAACUCCGUGCCAGCAGCCGCCGUAAUAC
rnacentral:rRNA from 1 species